GAUGAACGCUGGCGGCGUGCCUAAUACAUGCAAGUCGAGCGAACAGACGAGGAGCUUGCUCCUUCGACGUUAGCGGCGGACGGGUGAGUAACACGUAGGUAACCUACCUAUAAGACUGGGAUAACUUCGGGAAACCGGAGCUAAUACCGGAUAAUAUUUCGAACCGCAUGGUUCGAUAGUGAAAGAUGGCUUUGCUAUCACUUAUAGAUGGACCUGCGCCGUAUUAGCUAGUUGGUAAGGUAACGGCUUACCAAGGCAACGAUACGUAGCCGACCUGAGAGGAUGAUCGGCCACACUGGAACUGAGACACGGUCCAGACUCCUACGGGAGGCAGCAGUAGGGAAUCUUCCGCAAUGGGCGAAAGCCUGACGGAGCAACGCCGCGUGAGUGAUGAAGGUCUUCGGAUCGUAAAACUCUGUUAUUAGGGAAGAAAAAACGUGUAAGUAACUGUGCACGUCUUGACGGUACCUAAUCAGAAAGCCACGGCUAACUACGUG
rnacentral:rRNA from 1 species